GACGUAGGGCGCGAGCGUUGUCCGGAUUUAUUGGGCGUAAAGAGCUCGUAGGCGGCUUGUCGCGUCGUCCGUGAAAACCUGCGGCUCAACUGCAGGCUGGCGGUCGAUACGGGCAGGCUAGAGUUCGGUAGGGGAGACUGGAAUUCCUGGUGUAGCGGUGAAAUGCGCAGAUAUCAGGAGGAACACCGAUGGCGAAGGCAGGUCUCUGGGCCACUACUGACGCUGAGAAGCGAAAGCAUGGGGAGCGAACAGG
rnacentral:rRNA from 1 species